AGGAUAGAGGAGCGGUACUCAUCAGUAUCCCCGGAUCGAAAGACCCGCAGAUCUGAUCCAGGGAGAAAGGGAAUACUGCCGAAGGACGUAAGGCUCACUGCGGAAGCUUAAGUCCUGGGCAGCCGGAGAAGAUCCGGCUGACUGUCGCAUUUGCGGAGAGCUAUGA
rnacentral:ncRNA from 1 species